UAAUACGUAGGGGGCCAGCGUUGUCCGGAUUCAUUGGGCGUAAAGCGCGUGUAGGCGGCCAGAUAGGUCUGGUGUGAAAACUGGAGGCUCAACCUCCAGCCGUCAUCGGAAACCAUCUGGCUAGAGUCCGGAAGAGGAGAGUGGAAUUCCUGGUGUAGCGGUGAAAUGCGCAGAUAUCAGGAAGAACACCCAUGGCGAAGGCAGCUCUCUGGGACGGUACUGACGCUGAGACGCGAAAGCGUGGGGAGCGAACAGGAUUAGAUACCCUGGUAGUCCACGCCGUAAACGAUGGGCGCUAGGUGUGGGCGGUGUCGACUCCGUCCGUGCCGAAGCUAACGCAUUAAGCGCCCCGCCUGGGGAGUACGGCCGCAAGGCUAAAACUUAAAUGAAUUGACGG
rnacentral:rRNA from 1 species